CUGCUCCGCCGAGGACGUCGCUCUGCCUUCAUGUUCUGACGAGGACGUCGCCCUGCUUCCCUGCUCCACCAAGUACAGUGCUAUGUUUCCCUGCUCCGCCGAGUACAGUGCUCUGUUUCCCUGCUCCGCCGAGGACAUCGUUCUACCCUCAUGCCCAGCCGAGGUCGUCGCUCUGCCCUCAUGCCCAGCCGAGCUCAUCGCUCAGCCCCCCUGUCCAGCUGAGGACGUCGCCCUGCUUCCCUGCUCCACCAAGUACAGUGCUCUGUUUCCCUGCUCCGCCGAGUACAGUGCUCUGUUUCCCUGCUCCGCCGAGGACAUCGCUCUGCCCUCAUGCCCAGCCGAGGUCGUCGCUCUGCCCUCAUGCCCAGCCGAGGUCGUCGCUCUGCCUUCAUGCCCAGCCGAGGUCGUCGCUCUGCCCUCAUGCCCAG
ensembl:lncRNA